AGCCCCUCGGCCCAAUCCAAUUGCCCGCACUCCACAACCCUCCCUCCCUCCUCGAUCUCUCUCCCUCAGCCACCACAAACCCUAGGUCCUCCCCUUCUGCCUUGCUCUCCACCAUGCCUCCUCCUCCUCCCCUUCACCAUUCCCUCCAGCGGCAGGCACAGGGAUACGACGGCGGCGCUCGAUUUGAUACGCCCCGCUCCCCUCCCUCUCCACUGCGCCUCGGCCUUGUCCGCCCAGUGCUCUGCCGGCGCCCAUCGGCCUUGAUCCGGCUUCGGCAGGAGGAGCUCGCCCUCGAGACAGGAGGAGGGGAGCAGCAGGAUACAUGAGCAUGGCCUUCUUCUCGCGCUGCAGCCGCCGGCCUUGUCCUGUUCGAGGAGGAGCAACAGCAGGAGGGGCGCACCCAGCCACCCAGUCCUUCCUGGUUCCUGCCACCGCCACACCCACUCGUCUCCUCCUCUCUCUUCUAGCUAACUCCUCCUUCUUAAUCUCUGCGCCGGCCGCAGUGCGAGAGGAGCAGCGGCGGCGGAGAUGCUCCGAUGGCGGCGCCGAGUUGCGAAGUGGCGGCGCUCGGGCGCGAGACAAUAAAAGCGGGAGCGACUACUCCAGGCCCCGAUCUGCGGGUCCGGUUCCAGGGCACCGACGACUUCGCCAUCUAUGAUGUCGGGGGCAUGUUGCCAGGGUCCAUGACGGCGGCCGGGUCGGGCCGGGGCAGGAGAACUACAGGAGGCCAUGAAGGGCACGAAGGCUGCUGGCAGAAGUAGCAGAUUUGAAGGAGCGGCAGAUGUGGGUGGGGUCGGCGAUUGGGGAAGGCUCGCCGGCUGGGCGACGCGAGCUCCGGUGAGUGCAACAAAAGGAAGCUAGGUGUCGGCUUACGACAAUGAUUCGGGUGCCUGCGGCAUGAUGGAGAGCCGCCGCUAAACGCUCAGUGAUGGGGCGAUUUGGUUGAGGCGUCAAUGGCACCUUUGCUCGUGACCAAGGAUGGCACUUGUGCGAUCUGAAGUAAGACGCAUGCCAACUUUGGCCUCCUAGGCUUCCUUGGCACCCUCCCUUGCCACUACGUGCUCAACAACAAGGUGAGCCUCCCACUCUCCAUUUUCCCACAGAACUUCCAAUGACUGUUCAAAAAAUCAUCCAAGAGAAAGGCAGUAGCAGGAGAGAGGCAAUAGCAGCAGACCAAAGCAAAAAAAGAUCAACUCCUUUUUCCUAUUGGCUUUUAACCUCUUGUGCUAUGUGAUUGUGCUCGGGUAUUCGAAGGAUUAGGGCUUAAGGCAACUUGAUGGCAGCCAGUCGGAGUUUGCUAGGUUACAUAUGCAAGUCCUUUUGAAAUCUCAAACUUCUUUUUGGUGAUGAGCUUCUGCUCAUCUUGAUUGAUUCCUCUACAGUGAAGGUGUGUGCCUUUUCUGAUGCUUUCAUUUUCUCUUUCAUACUGUGGAGUUCAUCUUUGUCUUGGAGAACAUAACCAUGUGCCUGCUAUUGUUUAUGUGGUUGUAUGGAGUGUUCCUUCAACUAAUCAAGCAACACCCUUAAAUCUAACAAUCAAACUCCGAGAGAAUCAUUUAUACUUGAACUAGAAAGGCCAAUUCUGUGUCUUAGUUUUGUAUAGGAAUAUUAGCAAGUUGAGUAAGCUUGUUCUUUCUAGAAUAGGGCCAUUCCUGGUUUUUGUGUCUGUGGUUUCUACUUUUAUUACGCUGCUUAUUUUUGUGGUUCCAUUUGAACAGGAUGUCACUCUUGUUUCCGUCGUUAUACCUAUUUUGGAAGCCAUGGCAGCAUGUUUUGCUUUGUCGGCACAUUCGUGCAUGUUUGAGGUCACAGACGAAGAAGCACUGAAUGCUCAUUAUAUUCUCCUCUACUCUGAUCUUCUAUACACAUAUAUAAGAUGUGUCUUAUUUCCUUGUGUUUCCUGAGGAUCUUUCUUGAUUGAUUGUUUGACAGUGACUGUUAUGUAAAAAUGUUUUCAGUUGCUGUUUAGUACGGAUGCCUCCAUGGUUGCAUAGGCAUCCAUGGUUUUGUGAGGAGGUUAUCUAUGCCGUUCUGUUUUAUAUACUCCCUCCGUUCCUAAAUAUUUGUCAGCAAUUGCACAUGGUCCUGUUAGUUGUUUGUUUCUUUUGAUCAUAUUGAUGUUGAGUUGUGGGUUUACACAUUUUUCCUUGAAAUGUUUAUAUGUGUGUCCAGUUGUUUUUGGAUGGUCUAUGAUUUUGUUUGUGUUUAGUUUACAUUUCUCUCCUGAAGAUCUUGCUACCCAGCUGUAUUGCUAUAUUUCCUAUAAUAGGAAGUCAAUUAUAUUUGUAUUAUUUUGGCAGCCCUAACAGAUAGACCGGGGUCUCUACUGGCUCGGAAGACUGGACUUGAGGCACAUGUAAAAUUAAUUGUAUCUUGCUACUCUCGUGAUCUGUAUCCAGAGUGCAAGUCAUGUCUUGGAAUGCUGAGAAAAUAAGUGAAGUGUGCAAACAGGCAGCAUGGAAACACUAAAGAGAAGCUUCAGACAAACUAAUAUAACUGGAGUGAUUUCCUACAUGUAGUGACCGACUUGGAAGAAAUAAGUUUCAGCUAUUUCUAAAGAUAUUAUAUCAUAAGACUAUUCUUAGAUUAAGAUGUUUGGCUUGCACUAAUGUGUACAUGGCUGUAGUGGUUCCAGAUUUGUUACAAGCUCCUUGUGUUGAGGAUUGUCAAAAUGGUGAAGUUUCUAUUAUUUUCGGAACUACUGAUUCA